GACGAACGCUGGCGGCGUGCUUAACACAUGCAAGUCGAACGGAAAGGCCCCUUUGGGGGUACUCGAGUGGCGAACGGGUGAGUAACACGUGAGUAACCUGCCCUUGACUUCGUGAUAACUUCAGGAAACUGGGGCUAAUACCGGAUAGGAAUCCUUGCUGCAUGGUGGGGGUUGGAAAGCUUCGGCGGUUUUGGAUGGACUCGCGGCUUAUCAGCUUGUUGGUGGGGUAGUGGCUUACCAAGGCUUUGACGGGUAGCCGGCCUGAGAGGGCGACCGGCCACAUUGGGACUGAGAUACGGCCCAGACUCCUACGGGAGGCAGCAGUGGGGAAUAUUGCACAAUGGGCGGAAGCCUGAUGCAGCAACGCCGCGUGCGGGAUGACGGCCUUCGGGUUGUAAACCGCUUUCAGCAGGGGCGAAGCUUGUGGUGACGGUACCUGCAGAAGAAGCACCGGCUAACUACGUG
rnacentral:rRNA from 1 species